AACGAACGCUGGCGGCAGGCUUAACACAUACAAGUCGAACGCACCGCAAGGUGAGUGGCAGACGGGUGAGUAACACGUGGGGAUCUGCCCAAUGGUACGGAAUAGCUCCGGGAAACUGGAAUUAAUACCGUAUGAGCCCGCAAGGGGAAAGAUUUAUCGCCAUUGGAUGAACCCGCGUCGGAUUAGCUAGUUGGUGUGGUAAAGGCGCACCAAGGCGACGAUCCGUAGCUGGUCUGAGAGGAUGAUCAGCCACACUGGGACUGAGACACGGCCCAGACUCCUACGGGAGGUAGCGGUGGGGAAUAUUGGACAAUGGGCGCAAGCCUGAUCCAGCCAUGCCGCGUGAGUGAUGAAGGCCUUAGGGUUGUAAAGCUCUUUCGCCGACGAAGAUAAUGACGGUAGUCGGAGAAGAAGCCCCGGCUAACUUCGUGCCAGCCGCCGCCGUAAAAC
rnacentral:rRNA from 1 species